GGCACAAGGCCUCUGUACCACUUAAAUCCCACUUACACCCCGUAUGCAUGGGUGAGUUUCACUCACAGAGUAUUAAAAAAGGACAAAAACAUGGUUCAACCAAACAGCUGGGUGGAAUUCCAGGGCAUACUGAAAACAAUGAUUGUGGAGCAUUUGACCAGCUCUAACUAGAACUAUGGUCUCCUGAUUCCCAGUCCUGUGGCUGAACUACAAGAUUUUUCUCCUUUCCACUGGUACAAACUCAGCAACUGCUUAAACUGUGUUUAGCGGGUUUGGUAUUGCCUAAGAUUGGGUUUUUACCUUAAACAUUUACUUUAAGAUUUGUGUAAAACCUGGAUUUCAUGGUUUAAAAUGAAAUAAUAAUAAUAAAAAAGCCUGCCAGGGAACUUGAGAAGAGUUGGCCUCAAUACAAAGGGAUGAGGGGCCUCGUUAAGUGUCUGCUGAGUUAGUAAAUAUUGCCUUACCUGCGUCAGAGGCAGCGGGUCUAUUUCACUAAAUGAAAAGCAUAUGAUGGUGCCUGGAAUAAAUCUUGGAGACUAAAGAGGGUUAAAAAUUAGUUGCUCCAUUUUCUGGGCGAGAUUGUGGCUGUGCCUGGAUAGUAGCACAAAGGGCUAGUGAGGGCAUAGGGAGAUCUUUGGGCCCCUGCUCAGAAGGCAGCCAGAAGGUUUGGCACCUAAACUUGCUGGGUAAAAUGCACCCCUGCACAGAAGGCCAGCACAGGCCAAUGCACCUCCUGAGUCCCACUCAGAGUAGGGCUCGUGUGGGACUGAAGUGCUGAACCUCUGAACAAGAGAGUGGAAAUGGGCUAACCCAGCCUGAGGUACUGCACAUUUUCAAGGGGGAAUGGCUGGACCUUUUUCUACCCACUGGUGCUUGGAUACUGGUUGGAGUAGGCAGAGUACAUACCACUCAGGUGCAUAUUCUUCUAGCACAGUGCAUGCUAGUUUGUCUGACUUGGUGCACCACAGUAGAAUAGAGUUUGGUACAGAACCUAUUGCGACAGAAUCACAAUCUACUCCUCUUGUAUUUCAGUUGGCCAUGCUAAUCUUCUGUAAAUACUAGCUCAAGCAGUUGGGCUUAGCAGCAUUUCCUGGCUCUGCUGCUGAAGGGGUGAGGUGGUUUGGUUGACUGCUUACUCCCAGAAAUGUGUCCUCAUAGUGGUGGGAAGACAGUGGCCAUCUCUCCUGAACACCCCCCUUAAAGAUACCACAUAUGCAGGCUCAUGGAUUCUACUGCAUUAUUGUUUUUCAAUCAUCCUGAUAAAUGAUGAUAAAAGUGCAUUUAAAAUUAUUUUGCAAUUAUAUUUGUUUCAUGCUGGACCCAGAUAUAAAGAGUUGCCGAUGCCUCAUGGAAAUAUCAAAUCAUUUUAUUGAGAACCUAUUCAGCUUACAGUGUGUAUGUCACUUAGUUUUAAUAUUACUCUCCCCCUUGUUCCUUAUGACUUGAGAACAUUUGUCCAUGAAUGUAUUUUGUUUCUUAAGGUUUCAUUGGCCCCUGCUGGUUACUCCCCAUCACAGUCUGUGGCUAUGUGGAAAAGAUUUUGAUUCCACAGGAGAAAGGAGUCCAAAUUCAUCCUUGGUGUAACUCCACAGCACUCAGUCAACCUACAUGAGGAAUGAGCUGGGACAUAAUUUGUGUCUCUGGGACACAAAGCAAGCAGCAGGAGUGAAUUAUCCCUUCAGAAACACAAAUCAUAUCUUUAUUACAUGGGUUAAGCCCUAUGGCCAGAAGCUCCAGAGGGAAAAGAACUCUCUACUCACUCUGUUGGUGAAAAGGAAAAAGUGCUGCCAUAUUUGCAUAGGUUACUUACCCACAGUUCCUCUGGUGACACUUGAGGGGUCACUAUGACUAUAUAUGAACUUGGAUUUUUAUGGGUGGUGGGCUCUCAGUGAGGUUGAAAGACCGCAAACAGCUCUUAUCUUCAAGCAUCCAGGACUUUGCUCAAGGUUCCUGGCUGUUCUUGGUUCCCCUCCUGUGGGGACUUUGUAGGGAGAGACAACACAGAGGACAGCAUCAAAGCUAACUGGAUUUUGGUGAGGCCUCACUGGUGGGUGGGAAGGGAGUUAGAUGGACUGCCAAAGUUACCGAAAGGGGAGAGUGAUAUUGAAUCUGUCUUCACAUAUAUAUGCUGUUGCUACGUUUUCCCAAGUUUAGACUAUAUUCCCUUUCCCUGAAUAAAGCUUCUCUUGUUUGUACAGUCUUGGAGUGCUUGUGAGUGGAGAAGUUCUGCCUGUAAAAGGUGCCCAGGGAGGGAGUAUUCGGUUUUUCCCUUUUUGCUGCCACUAAGCUCCUGGCAGAAGUGUUCCAUAGGCUGUAGCCUCUUUAAUACUGUUUCUUGAAGGAUGCAUUAUGGUUCCUUUCCUGGUGUUAAUGCCUCAAAAGCCCUUCAUUACCCAUUAUUUAUCUCCCCUUGUCUGAUUCCAGGUCUUUCUCUGUCCUCUCCACUUCUCCAGUGCUGCCUGGCUUCACAAACCAACAUUUCUGUGCCUUCUUCUAUGUUGUCCUUUACACAUGCAAGGAACCAUAACGAGGAAGGGAUCAUACCUUCUUUUCUAUCUGGGAAAUGCUAAAUCACUGUGGAUGCUGCUAGAAAUAAGCUGGAUACUGCUGACAAUGUUUGCUCCUGCCCCAGGCCAGAGGCAACCAACCAAUGCACCCUUUCUUGGACUACCAGGCAGUUUAAUAUUGUUUGGUCUAGCUUGAAAUGUGGCAGUCAUGACGUCAACAUUUACAAAAAGCUGUACUUUAUAGCAAGCUUUAAUAGACAUCAUUCAAGGUUUGGACAAGAUUUCUUAUAAGGCAAUCUGCUCCAAAUCGAUCCCAGAUCCUCCAAUGCCCAUUUUGGGAGUCAGAAGUGGGCUGCUGAAAUUCUGCUGCAGAGGAUUGCCUUUCUUGUGGCUUUUCUGGUGUGGGUUACACUGAAGAACACUGGAAGUCUCAUGAAAGAACCAAAAGUUACAAGAUUUUGCAACCAAAAAUGUUGUGCUCAGUAUGCUUGGCCAAGCUCCUAGGGCCAAAUCCAUCCCUGUUGUAACUUGCAUGAAAUCAGUGGAGUAACACCAGGAAUAAAUUUGAUACCCGCAUUUUCAGCUUCUUGUCUUUACUUAAUUUCCAAACCCUUGGACAUUCACACAUUAUGAAGUCACAUGGUCAGCUUUGAUAUUCCCUUUCAGCAAGCCCUUAACAGUAUUUUCUGCCAGAGAGAGUUCAGUGUGGAUGAAGGUGUCUAUAGAUACAUCUACACUGGAGCUCGGAGCGUGCUUCCCAGCAUGUGAAGACAGAUGUGUGUUAGCUUUGCUCGAGCCAGUGCCCUGAAAAUAGCAGUGUAGCUGAGGAUGCCAUGGGUGGCAGAUUGGGCUAGUUGCCUGAGUACCUUAUAAAGGAGUGUGGGUGGAUCUGUAUUCAAACAACUACCCUGAGCUGCUGCUACAGGGCUAUCUUAAUGAGCUAGCUUGAGCAGAGAAGCUCUGGGAAGCAUGCUUCCAGCUGCAAUGUAGCAGUACCCAGUGUAAAAGGUGUUGGUUGGGUCUGCUGCUAAACGUUUGAAGCAUGUGAUUUUAAUAUUUUCUCCCAACUUUAUCUUUAGUGCUGUUAAGUGGGUGUUAGUUAUUUCAGGUGUACUGAGAUUUUUUAAAUUUUGCACUCUUCUACAUUUCUAGUUGUACAAAGCUCUGUGAAACAAGGUGUGCUGCCCCCCAGUUAGUCUACAAUUCUGAAAUAGCAUUUGACGUCUCAGUUGAUAGUGCAGUCACAGACCUCUUCCAGAAAAUUGCACCCAUCUUUUCCAAAUUAAGCCAAAGGCAUGUGGUUUCCAUCUUCUUAUUAUCUAUGCAUGACACAUGGAGAACGGGGAAUCACUAUUCUCUGGGGUUACUGAAAUGGAGACAUAGAGCUAAGUGUCAAGUGCCUUGGUGACAUGAUAGCCCAUAGUACCUCAAUCACCUCCAUAUUUUUAACAAGAGGGAUGAAAAGACUGAAUUCUGUGAUACUCAGAGUUGGACUCAGGGUUAGAGCUCUCAAGAUGCGAGACCAGUUGUCAAUCUCAGUCCUUUGGCUCGCUCCAAUAGGAAUAGGAAAAGCUACCUCAAUGCACCUUCAUCCACACUUGCCAGGUCCUGUAAUCAAGUCAGCAGUGCUUUGUGAUCAAAGGUACUGAAGGUUGCUGAUACACACAGUACCUUCCUGAAGCUACUAGUAAACUUUUUGUAUGCUGUUGACUGACUCUUGCUUUCAAUGCAUUGCUUGACAUUAAUGAGCCCUCUAAUUACUGCCAGUCUUUAACCUUCCUUUUUAAGAAGGUGGUGACAGACAAAUUCCAGCAACAUCAUAUUCUCCAAAUUUGUGUCCCAGAUUGGCUGGUUUCAAACAUGGAUGUGGCAAAGUAACAAUGGUAUCAGUGGUCACCUAAGUGAUCACCUCCUGGUUAUAGUCAAAGGUCAAAUGUUCAUAUUGAUGAUAUUAAUAAUCCUUAUUUGUUAAGGACUCAGACAUUCUUCACUGGUUUUCUCCAUUCAUAUGGGACCUGGGUCCAUACUGCAGGUGGCCAUGUUGAACAUUUCCAUGACAUUCAGAAAUGCGGAUCUGAAUUUCAUCUAGUUUACAACUGGGGACAGUGUGUUCUAAUCUGAAGUAGAAUGCAAACUCCUUGUAGUGAGACAUUCAGCUCUGUAACCUGACAGAGGCAGUCGGGUUAGUCAGCCUACAUGCCAUUCAGGACAAUGCUGCUGAUCUCAACUUUGACAAUGCUAAGGUGUAGGAAUAGGAAAAUCUCUUGGUCUCUUACACAGUCAUGGCAUAGGGUUCCCAUGAUUAGUUUUAGUCCAUUGCUCAGGUCUCUGUUCCAAAGGCAGGACAGCUUUAUUCCUCUAAAUUAAUGGAGAUAUCCUAUCUCCUAGAACUGAAGGGGACCUUGAAGGUCAUCAAGUCCAGCCCCCUGCCUUCACUAGCAGGACCAAGUACUGAUUUUGCCCCAGAUCCCUAAGUGGCCCCCUCAAGGUUUGAAGUCACAACCCUGGAUUUAGCAGGCUAAUGCUCAAACCACUGAGCUAUCCCUCCCCCUAAUUGGUGCUGGUACCAUAAUCUAGUCAUAUCCAAUCAUAUAUUAUCUAUCUAUUUCCAUGGGCACAUGAUCACCUUACACCUUUUGCCCCCUUUUGUUGGGUUACGUCCAUUUUGUAUGUUUUGUAUAAUUUCAGGAACCCAUAUUGGUUCCCAAAAUGGAGUUUGUGCCCAUGUGACCCAGCAGAUUACAAU